rnacentral:rRNA from 1 species
AGACGUCUACAUUAGAUACCCGUGUAGUCCCAGCCGUAAACUAUGCGCGUUAGGUGUAUCGGUGACCACGAGUUACCGAGGUGCCGAAGGGAAACCGUGAAACGUGCCGCCUGGGAAGUACGGUCGCAAGGCUGAAACUUAAAGGAAUUGGCGGGGAGCACCACAACAGGUGGAGCCUGCGGUUUAAUUGGACUCAACGCCGGACAACUCACCGGGACGACAGCAAUAUGUAGGCCAGGCUGAAGACCUUGCCUGAAUCGCUG